GACGAACGCUGGCGGCGUGCUUAACACAUGCAAGUCGAACGGUAAGGCCCUUCGGGGUACACGAGUGGCGAACGGGUGAGUAACACGUGGGUGAUCUGCCCUGCACUUCGGGAUAAGCCUGGGAAACUGGGUCUAAUACCGGAUAGGACCCUGGGAUGCAUGUCCUGGGGUGGAAAGGUUUUGCGGUGUGGGAUGGGCCCGCGGCCUAUCAGCUUGUUGGUGGGGUGAUGGCCUACCAAGGCGACGACGGGUAGCCGGCCUGAGAGGGUGACCGGCCACACUGGGACUGAGAUACGGCCCAGACUCCUACGGGAGGCAGCAGUGGGGAAUAUUGCACAAUGGGCGCAAGCCUGAUGCAGCGACGCCGCGUGAGAGAUGACGGCCUUCGGGUUGUAAACCUCUUUCAGCACCGACGAAGCGCAAGUGACGGUAGGUGCAGAAGAAGGACCGGCCAACUACGUGCCAGCCGCCGCGGUAA
rnacentral:rRNA from 1 species